UACGGAGGGGGCUACCGUUGUUCGGAAUUACUGGGCGUAAAGCGCACGUAGGCGGAUGUUUAAGUCGGGGGUGAAAUCCCGGGGCUCAACCCCGGAAUGGCCUUCGAUACUGGACGUCUGGAGGUCGGGAGAGGCGAGUGGAAUUCCGAGUGUAGAGGUGAAAUUCGUAGAUAUUCGGAGGAACACCAGUGGCGAAGGCGGCUCGCUGGCCCGAUACUGACGCUGAGGUGCGAAAGCGUGGGGAGCAAACAUG
rnacentral:rRNA from 1 species